rnacentral:rRNA from 1 species
GACGAACGCUGGCGGCGUGCUUAACACAUGCAAGUCGAGCGGUAAGGCCCUUUCGGGGGUACACGAGCGGCGAACGGGUGAGUAACACGUGGGUAAUCUACCCUUGGGUGGGGAAUAACCAGUCGAAAGAUUGGCUAAUACCGCAUAAUGCAGCGGCUCGACAUCGAGACAGUUGUUAAAGCAGCAAUGCGCCUGGGGAGGAGCCUGCGUCUGAUUAGCUUGUUGCGGGUAACGGCCCACAAGGCUACGAUCAGUAGCUGGUCUGAGAGGACGGCCAGCCACAAAUGGCACUGAAACACGGGCCAUACUCCUA